CACGUAGGGGGCGAGCGUUGUCCGGAUUUAUUGGGCGUAAAGAGCUCGUAGGCGGUUUGGCAAGUCGGGUGUGAAAUUUCGAGGCUCAACCUCGAAACGCCACUCGAUACUGCCAUGACUGGAGUCCGGUAGAGGAGUGCGGAAUUCCUGGUGUAGCGGUGAAAUGCGCAGAUACCAGGAGGAACACCAACGGCGAAGGCAGCACUCUGGGCCGGUACUGACGCUGAGGAGCGAAAGCGUGGGGAGCAAACAGG
rnacentral:rRNA from 1 species